rnacentral:rRNA from 1 species
GAUCAUGGCUCAGGACGAACGCUGGCGGCGCGCCUAACACAUGCGAGUCGAACGAGCGAGAGAGAGCUUGCUUUCUCGAGCGAGUGGCGAACGGGUGAGUAACGCGUGAGGAACCUGCCUCAAAGAGGGGGACAACAGUUGGAAACGACUGCUAAUACCGCAUAAGCCCACAGCUCGGCAUCGAGCAGAGGGAAAAGGAGCAAUCCGCUUUGAGAUGGCCUCGCGUCCGA